GUGACUGGUGAGGGCUCAUUGAGUUAGAAAAAUGAAAGCAGUAGUUUCUUUAUUUUUGAUGUCCUUACAGCUCCACAAGCUUAAUUCUAAAAUUUGAAACAAUGAAACGCCGUUGUAGUGAAAAGGUAUGAAAAGAUUCCCAAGAAUUGGAAUCAUCUCUACAGUGUGACCCAAUUUCGAUGGGAUUAAAUGGGUUAAAAGAUAAUAAUUUAACUGAAUUUGGUUCAUUUGUCCAGCCUCAAAAUGGCACACAAUAUUGCGGUGUUUCGAGGACUAAAACAUUAAACAUUUUAAAACGUUAC